ACGGGUGAGUAAUGUCUGGGAAACUGCCUGAUGGAGGGGGAUAACUACUGGAAACGGUGGCUAAUACCGCAUAACGUCGCAAGACCAAAGAGGGGGACCUUCGGGCCUCUUGCCAUCAGAUGUGCCCAGAUGGGAUUAGCUUGUUGGUGAGGUAACGGCUCACCAAGGCGACGAUCCCUAGCUGGUCUGAGAGGAUGACCAGCCACACUGGAACUGAGACACGGUCCAGACUCCUACGGGAGGCAGCAGUGGGGAAUAUUGCACAAUGGGCGCAAGCCUGAUGCAGCCAUGCCGCGUGUAUGAAGAAGGCCUUCGGGUUGUAAAGUACUUUCAGCGGGGAGGAAGGUGUUGUGGUUAAUAACCGCAGCAAUUGACGUUACCCGCAGAAGAAGCACCGGCUAACUCCGUGCCAGCAGCCGCGGUAAUACGGAGGGUGCAAGCGUUAAUCGGAAUUACUGGGCGUAAAGCGCACGCAGGCGGUCUGUCAAGUCGGAUGUGAAAUCCCCGGGCUCAACCUGGGAACUGCAUUCGAAACUGGCAGGCUUGAGUCUUGUAGAGGGGGGUAGAAUUCCAGGUGUAGCGGUGAAAUGCGUAGAGAUCUGGAGGAAUACCGGUGGCGAAGGCGGCCCCCUGGACAAAGACUGACGCUCAGGUGCGAAAGCGUGGGGAGCAAACAGGAUUAGAUACCCUGGUAGUCCACGCCGUAAACGAUGUCUACUUGGAGGUUGUGCCCUUGAGGCGUGGCUUCCGGAGCUAACGCGUUAAGUAGACCGCCUGGGGAGUACGGCCGCAAGGUUAAAACUCAAAUGAAUUGACGGGGGCCCGCACAAGCGGUGGAGCAUGUGGUUUAAUUCGAUGCAACGCGAAGAACCUUACCUGGUCUUGACAUCCACAGAACUUUCCAGAGAUGGAUUGGUGCCUUCGGGAACUGUGAGACAGGUGCUGCAUGGCUGUCGUCAGCUCGUGUUGUGAAAUGUUGGGUUAAGUCCCGCAACGAGCGCAACCCUUAUCCUUUGUUGCCAGCGGUCCGGCCGGGAACUCAAAGGAGACUGCCAGUGAUAAACUGGAGGAAGGUGGGGAUGACGUCAAGUCAUCAUGGCCCUUACGACCAGGGCUACACACGUGCUACAAUGGCGCAUACAAAGAGAAGCGACCUCGCGAGAGCAAGCGGACCUCAUAAAGUGCGUCGUAGUCCGGAUUGGAGUCUGCAACUCGACUCCAUGAAGUCGGAAUCGCUAGUAAUCGUGGAUCAGAAUGCCACGGUGAAUACGUUCCCGGGCCUUGUACACACCGCCCGUCACACCAUGGGAGUGGGUUGCAAAAGAAGUAGGUAGCUUAACCUUCGGGAGGGCGCUUACCACUUUGUGAUUCAUGACUGGGGUGAAGUCGUAACAAGGUAACCGUAGGGGAACCUGCGGUUGGAUCACCUCCUUA
rnacentral:rRNA from 1 species